AUUGAACGCUGGCGGCAGGCUUAACACAUGCAAGUCGAGCGGAGAGAGGUAGCUUGCUACUGAUCUUAGCGGCGGACGGGUGAGUAAUGCUUAGGAAUCUGCCUAUUAGUGGGGGACAACAUUUCGAAAGGAAUGCUAAUACCGCAUACGUCCUACGGGAGAAAGCAGGGGAUCUUCGGACCUUGCGCUAAUAGAUGAGCAUAAGUCGGAUUAGCUAGUUGGUGGGGUAAAGGCCUACCAAGGCGACGAUCUGUAGCGGGUCUGAGAGGAUGAUCCGCCACACUGGGACUGAGACACGGCCCAGACUCCUACGGGAGGCAGCAGUGGGGAAUAUUGGACAAUGGGCGGAAGCCUGAUCCAGCCGUGCCGCGUGUGUGAAGAAGGCCUUAUGGUUGUAAAGCACUUUAAGCGAGGAGGAGGCUACUUUAGUUAAUACCUAGAGAUAGUGGACGUUACUCGCAGAAUAAGCACCGGCUAACUCUGUGCCAGCAGCCGCAGUAA
rnacentral:rRNA from 1 species